GACGAACGCUGGCGGCGUGCUUAACACAUGCAAGUCGAACGAUGAAGCCGGAGCUUGCUCUGGUGAAUUAGUGGCGAACGGGUGAGUAACACGUGAGUAACCUGCCCUUGACUCUGGGAUAACUGCGGGAAACUGUAGCUAAUACCGGAUACGACCCUCGGAGGCAUCUCCUGGGGGGGGAAAGAAUUUCGGUCAAGGAUGGACUCGCGGCCUAUCAGCUAGUUGGUGAGGUAACGGCUCACCAAGGCGACGACGGGUAGCCGGCCUGAGAGGGUGACCGGCCACACUGGGACUGAGACACGGCCCAGACUCCUACGGGAGGCAGCAGUGGGGAAUAUUGCACAAUGGGCGCAAGCCUGAUGCAGCAACGCCGCGUGAGGGAUGACGGCCUUCGGGUUGUAAACCUCUUUUAGCAGGGAAGAAGCGAAAGUGACGGUACCCGCAGAAAAAGCACCGGCUAACUACGUGCCAGCCGCCGCUGUAA
rnacentral:rRNA from 1 species